ensembl:lncRNA
CCUCCAUUACUCGACACACGCCUCGAAGCCUCGGCACGUCUCGUAACAUCGCUAAUAAACAGUUUAUCUGUAAAUCAACGUCAAAAAGAAAACCCAGCGCUAUAUGCAAAUUCUGCAACGCAACGCUCACUGAGGCGGCUGGAACCACAUCGAACUUUUACCGACACUUGGAGAGGAAGCAUAAAGAAAGACAAACACCUGAAUGAUCCCCAAGAGUUCUGGGAGAAUAUCCUCCGGAAUGAUGGACAGAACAUUUUGGAAGCGUUUGGAGGCCGAGUCGACGCCUUGAACUCCUUUUCAUGGUUCCUACAGCGUUCCUGAACACUUUGUGCAGCGUGGCAGCGAGCAUUGUCGUGCUGAAAGAGGUCGCUGCCGUCAGGAUGUAGUCGUGUCGGGGUGGACGUGGUCUGCAGCGAUGUUCA